rnacentral:lncRNA from 1 species
CUUUCAUCUGAGCUGGAAGCAGGACAGAAAUCGGCUGAUCAGCAUCCAGCUGCAGCCAUGUGAAUGGCCUGGAGGAAGUAGCUGAAAGCAAACAAACACGGGUUUUGCAUUGUUUCCCAGAACUGGCUAAAUCGCCUCCUUAUCUGUGAUUUAUGUAUCUUGCAAAUAGGCUGCUCAUCUAUCUGGACGAGGGGACUCACUGCCUUGGAAUUAAAGCUGGGAAACGCUUUUGGAAAAAACAARAGAAUGUGCUGGAUGAGGAUAGUGUCGUCCCUCUGGCCUGGCAGGUCACAGCUGAGGUUAACCGUGAGAUAUUUAAUGCUGUGAAGCACAAGAGAAGGAUCUAAAUGCUUGAAAACUGAUGCACCAAAUGUCUCUUCCCGAAGACAAACCUGCAGGAUUUGCUUGGUGUAGGGUCACAAUUUAGGAACAAGAUCCUCCGCUGGGAUAAAGAAGCUGAGGCUCAGGCUCCAGGCAUCCUGCAGAAGUGUAACAUGAGGUUAAAAUGGGUGUGAAACAGGCCUCCCAUAUAUACCUUGCACCGUUUCCACCUCCAGGCCGGGGGGACUCUUUGAAAUCAGAGCAGCAGCCAUAGGCAAGAGAAAGAGGAGCACCUCUCUUAGAGGAAAUUCUCAGUCCUGGAGAAAGGAGCCAGUCUACGAGUUAGAGGGGACGCUAGGACAGACUGCCUGCCUGCCGAAAGCCGCGCGCAGGAGGCGGAGGCUGCUCCACGGCGCAAAGGAGAUGGAGGGGGUGAGUGAACAGGGACCUGUUGUAUU